AGGAUCUGCCACUUCCCUGCAUGCAGGUGUGCAGAGGGCAGGGAAGCAGGCACUCUGUGGGUACUUCACUGAUACCAUGGCUGCUCCUGGCUGCUCCUACCUGCUCCCUGCAUGGGGACAGCACUGGUGGUCCAUCCCUGCGACUGAAACCAUACCAGUAUUGCCACAGAAAACGCCAGAAGGAAAUACUUGCACAAAGAUCAGCAGUACAAAAGCAAGACUGCUGGUUUGCCAUACUCACCCCCUCUUCCUCCUCCUCCGAGCCAUCCCCCUCUUCCUCAGAUGAGUCACUACCCUAAGAAGAGGAAAAACCAAGCUGGAGGCGGGUGGGUGGGUUCCCAGUGGUGUCAUGAGUACAAUGUCCUGCCCACAGGCCCACAGGCUAUGCCAACAGGGCACAGACCAUGUCCCCAUCUCAUUUGGGCCAAAACCUCUGCAUUUGGAGGGCGAUGAAGCAGCAGCAACCCCUCGGAAGCACCCACCUGGUACCGUCGCUGCGGAGGAUACACAUAGAUGUAUCUGUACAGGUAAUGCCGGUGCCGGCUCUUGAAAACCUACCAGGAGAAGGAGGGGGAAAAUCCCAUCAGUCUGGGGCCUUGGGUACAGGAGCCACCAAAAUGUGCUCUUCCUUUAGAUCAGCCCCGUGUGGGACUAGGGGUGGGGGAGACCCUACCGCGUUCUCUUCUGAGUCGCCCCACUUGGGUUGCCGCAGCCAGCU